rnacentral:rRNA from 1 species
GAUGAACGCUGGCGGCGUGCCUAACACAUGCAAGUCGAGCGAACAGACGAGGAGCGUGCCCCUCUGACGUUAGGGGCGGACGGGUGAGUCAUAUGUGGAUAACCUACCUAUAAGACUGGGAUAAGUUCGGGAAACCGGAGACAAUACCGGACAAUAUAUUGAACGGCAUGGUUCAAUAGUGAAAGACGGAUUUGCUGACACUUAUAGAGGGAUCCGCGUCGCAGUAGUUAGUUGGUAAGGUGACGGCCUACCAAGGCAACGAUGCGUAGCCGACCUGAGAGGCGUACCGGCCACACUGGAACUGAGACACGGUCCAGACUCCUACGGGAGGCAGCAGUUGGGAAUCUUCCACAAUGGGCGCAAGCUUGACGGAGCCAUGCCGCGUGAGUGAUGAAGGUCUUCGGAUUGUAAAACUCUUUAAGUGGGGAAGAACGGAAGUGAGAUUAUCUAUGCAUGUCUUGACGGUACCUACUGAGAAAGCCACGGCUAACUACGUG